AACGCGAAGAACCUUACCUAAGCUUGACAUCCCACUGACCUCUCCCUAAUCGGAGACUUCCCUUCGGGGACAGUGGUGACAGGUGGUGCAUGGUUGUCGUCAGCUCGUGUCGUGAGAUGUUGGGUUAAGUCCCGCAACGAGCGCAACCCUUGCCUUUAGUUGCCAGCAUUAAGUUGGGCACUCUAGAGGGACUGCCAGGGAUAACCUGGAGGAAGGUGGGGAUGACGUCAAAUCAUCAUGCCCCUUAUGCUUAGGGCUGCACACGUGCUACAAUGGGUGGUACAGAGGGCUGCGAAACCGUGAGGUCAAGCUAAUCCCUUAAAGCCAUUCUCAGUUCGGAUUGUAGGCUGAAACUCGCCUACAUGAAGCUGGAGUUACCAGUAAUCGCAGAUCAGAAUGCUGCGGUGAAUACGUUCCCGGGUCUUGUACACACGCA
rnacentral:rRNA from 1 species